CAUUAGCUCAUUGCCGAGAAGAUGCCAGAGUUGCUGGAUUUUGAUAAGGAUUUUGUUCAUUUGGAAGCAACCUCUAAGAUCCUAUUGAAGUCUUUAGCUGAAGAAAUGCAAGCUGUGAGUAAAGGUCUUGAAAAGGUUGAGCAGGAACGCACUGCUUCAGAAAAUGAUGGUGCCAUCUCUGCAGGCUUCCAAAAGGCCUUGAAGAAUUUCCUUGAUACUGCUGAAGCUGAAGGUCCCUUAUCUCCUUGUGCUCUGAAGUGAUUCAUUGUCUCAGUAUUUUGGGGAGGAUCCAGCUAGGUGUCCUUGUGAACAAGAAAAGCACCUAUCCACAGCCCACCGUACGGAGCACAUCGCCACGGCCACUGUCGCAAAUCACCACCGCCACAGCCUCAGAUCACAGCUUGAUUUCGAAACUUCUAGUGUUUGAUUUCUAGACAUAAAUCCCAAAUUCAAGCUCAAAACAGGCCAUCCUGCUGGGUAGCUUGGAGGAUCAUCUCUUUGAAUGUGCAUCACUGUCAAGCAUUCCUCGUGGUAAAUGGUAUUGUAAAUAUUGCCAGAACAUGUUCCAAAGGGAGAAGUUUGUGGAGCAUAAUGCGAAUGUUGUAGCAGCUGGAAGAGUUUUAGGAGUUGAUUUUAUUGAACAGAUAACCAAGCGCUGCAUUCGAAUUGUCAAAAAUCCAGAAGAUGCUGAGGUCAUUGCAUGUGUUUUGUGCAGAGGUUAUCACUUUAGAAAAUCUGGAUUUGGUCCACACACAGUAAUAGUCUGUGAUCAGAAUGAAGAGUGUUCCUGUGGUCGAUCUAGGAGAAAGGAAGAUUGAUAUCAUCAUCACACAAUCUGCUGUUAUUCACAUGUUGGAGGAAUGCGUCGGUCUUUUACCUGUCUAGUGUUGUUUAAUUUUUCUUGUGCAGUUGGAUGAGCACUCGUCCUAUGAAAGAAUUUGUUUCCAUGUUUAAAGAAGGUUCCUUCUGAGUUAAUUUGCUAAAACCCUUCACUUGGUUGCUAAGAAAUGGGUGAAAUAAUAAAAAACAAAUGAGUUGCUGAACUAUGAAAAACAGAAGUUGACAUCAAGUGCAGCAAUUCUAUUGAAGUUCACUUGGUUGCAAGAAGAUAUCUAUAAAGAAAGAAAGGCUAGAAGUAGAGGAGAGAAAGAGACACAAACAGAGACAGUAAGAGUGUAGGUAACAUGGUUGCAACCUUGUCUGCUUGGCCCUGGGAGAAAUUGGGCCCAUUCAAGUAUCUGAUAUAUGGAGUCGUCUUUGCAAAAGUCAUAUAUUCAAGAAUGCAAAAGGAUAUCUAUAUAUCUGAUAGCCGUCAAAGGAUUGUUAGCAGCCACUUGAUGUUAGCAAUGAAUUUACCUUCAAUGUAAUAUAUAGGAUUCUUUCAGGGAUGCUACUUUAACAUACAAAGCUGAGGCUUUGGAAUUGCAGAGACAGCUUAGGCAACUGCAGACUCAGUAUGAUAUGCUCUCUGGUCAGGCUUCAGCUUUGAUCCAAGGAAGAAGGGCACGAGUUGUGGCAACAUCUAGUGUGCUUAAGAAUACCAAUGUGAGACUUAAAGACACUGUUAAUCAGGUGAUUGAGCCAGUAUUUUCUACAGAUUUGAAUCAAUUUGUGUUCCAAGGAUGGGGUGGGGGUAGGAAAUUUCAACCUAUAUUCAGUUGUGCUUUGUUGUAGAUCCCUUUACUAGAUUUGAUGGAGAGUUUUCCUUUUGUUCCAGCUAAGGUCUAGUCGAAAUUUCUUUAUUGAUAUUAUACUGUUGUGCGUAAUUCUUGGGAUUGUUGCUUAUCUGUACAAGUAAGUCUCACUCUCUCUCAAUGGAAAGUAAACACUUCAUCACAUUUUGUUCGUAUCUGACAUGCUUAACGGACUGCAGAAAACAAUUUCAUGCAUGAAAGGGUGAACUUGUUAUUAGACACAAAAAACUUUACUUGUAAACUAAACUGAGUGCAUAGUUAAUUUGGUUGGAUUUUCAUGCAGACAAGAAAUGCAACAGGGUUAGUUGCUUUAGCUAUUGUUGUGGGUUUAUGUGUCUUAACACAUACAUUGGGCACCCUCGUCCCUGUGAUAAGAGCAAGUGGAUUUGCUACAACUACAGCUGAAGCUGCAACUGCUUUAGGAACUGUUGUCGGUAGUUUUAGAUAUUCUCUUAAUAGUUGUCGAUAUGUUUAGAAAGUUAGAUAUGCAUAGUUUUGGAUGGUUUAAACUUUUUGUAUAGUUUAGAACUUAAGGAUAUGGUUUUUAAAUGUUUAGAAUGUAUAGACAAUUGCUGAAUGUUUAUAAUUUAAUAAUACAGUUUCUUUUUGAUGUUUCAAAUAAUAUUUUGGUGAUUGAUUGAUGUUUUGUGAUGCUUGUUUGUAAUAUUUGUUAGAUUGUACAAAAUUGGUCAAAUAAAACCUGCUGAAUUUGAUUGUAAUAUUAGAUUGUACAAAACAGGUCAAAUAUAGAAUCUGUUGAAUUUUAAAAAAAAAAAUGCACAUUUUACGACAAGCAAAUUAGGUCAUUAUAUGAAAUAUUCCAAAGCAUUUCACGUAUGCCGUGGUAUGUUCUACUUAUCUAUGGCAGGCUGAGCAAGUCGUUGUAUUAUAUAUUUUACAGCGCGCAAUCAGCGUUGUUGUUUGUCACAUCAAUUAACGGCGUGCAAAAGUAGUCGUAGAAAAAGUAACGACGCACAAAAUCUGUCAUUAAAUAGUUUUUAACGGCGUACGAAGCAUGUCGUUGAAAGUGAAUGACUUUCCAUGACUGGUCGUAAUAUGACAAGUGCCUGCACGUCGUAGAAAGGUUUUUACGUGUAUUGCGCGCCGUAAAAAUCUUUUUUUGCUGUAGUGUAAUAAGUUUGAACCAUACACUUGUUAACACUCAUCAUAUUUCUAUAGAUUCACAAAUUACCAUUUUUAAUUUGCUCUAGGCUUGAUACCAAACCUUUUGAAUUAGUUCUUGCAAACUUGAUAGGCCUUCAUCAAGACUUUCUUAACUAUCUUUUGUAGGCCUAACAUAGCUUCAUUAAGAACUUCUAAAUCCUAAAUGCCUCUCAAGUAUACACUAAGAUCUUAGACCUCAUUGCACAAGCUCAAGUAUUCAUGAACUAACAUCUGAACUUUGACCUUUUUUCUCUCAUCCAGUCUUGGGUGAAUUAUUUACAAUAGAAGGUUGCAGUGGAAAACUAAUUCUUCUAUUUAAAACUCUUGGCAUACUAUUAAGGAAGCCUUUUUAAUGUGUUAGAAGGCCUGAAAUGUUGAUCACGUUUGAAACUACCAUUGGGCCUUUUCAAACAUUCUGAAAGGCCAAGACUCCUACAUGAAAGCCCUAUUCCAUUACAAGGCCUAUUCAUUGGGCUAGAAUGUUUAAAGUACUUUUUAGGUUUGAGUGAUGUUAUGUCUUUUCAAAACUUCUGGAAGGCCAAGACUCCAAAUAGGCUCUUCAAACAUGAGAUAACUUGCAAUUUUUUUAUUUGAAUAACGAAAUUUAUUAUAGGCCAAACUUUCUUACUUGAUUUAUACUCUUUGCUUCCUUUAAUACAUCCUUUAAGAUUUUUCAUGAAUCCUUUUGGAGAAUGGAGAUGUUUGUUCGACCUAUGAAAUACUUCAUGCGACUUGAGGCUUUUUGCAACCACCUUCUUGUUUUUGUGUAAGCCAUGUAAACAAUAUUCACUUUUGAUGUGCCCUACAAACUCAACGUGGGUAUAAGUUUUCAUAGAGGUCUUCAUCUAAUAGAAGAUGAGAAGAUUGCUCACACUACAACAAAAGUUGCCUAUAACCACGUUUGUUAGACAACGUUUUUUGAAAAACGCUGUGGAAGAAAGUGAAAUUACGCGUUAUCCUUUCUUAUAAACACGCGUUCCAUUUAUAACAGUGCUCACUCUCCCCCAGUCUUUAUUUCUCUUAUCGUUUUCUCUCACUGUCCUAGAUCUAGGGUUUAUGUGUCUCUCCUCAGUCUCCUUGAGAGAUUCACCAGAGGAAGAUAGACCAGUUGAGUGAAGAAGGAUCGAGAUCAGUGGGAUCAAGACAGGAACCGGGACCGAGAUCGGUCGAGUCGGAGCAAGGGGAGGAGAGGAGAUAAGUUGAUUCACAGGAGUAAUAGAGAAGAUGGUGGUGAGGACAGUUCAGAGGAGAGCGUGAAUGAUGACGAUGACGAUGACGAUGACGAUGGAGUCGCCGCCACCGCCGCGGUGAGGAUGUUGCCGCCUAAUCCAACGAUGUCGAUGUCGUCUUCAUUACUGAACCACCACCAUCAGCACCGGAAGAGCUUUCCUCUGCAACUACAAAAUCGUCGAUGUCGUCGAUGUCAUCUUCAAGGAUGAUUAUGCGGCAGAUGAUGGGGAAUAUGAGGAGAAGUCGAAGAAAGAGAGUUUGGCAUUUUUCUUUUUAGCUACAUAUGAAAAUGGUGAGCCAACGGGCAAUGCUGCAAGGGUAAAGAGAGAGGGGAAUGGCUUCAGAAUCUUACUUAUGGAGUGUUUAGCCUUGGCAACAGACAGUAUGAGUACUUUAAUAAGAUAGCAAAUGAGGUGGACGAGCACCUUGCUGAGCAGGCAACAGGUAGGUUGGUCCGAUGGCAAUGGAGGCUGAAUUUGGAAUUUCUACUCCGCGAAACCCUUCUCAGGGGUGGUGGUGGUGGUGACUUGUGCACUCAUUGUUUCAGUGCCUGGGAAAAAAAGAAAGACAAAACUAGAAAUGGAAGGAGUUCAGCAAAAAGGAAGUCUUGUUCGAUAUGGAUUUUUAACAUGAGCUAGUUCAGAACAUAUGCGGAAAUGAUGUACCUCUGAGCAGUUACAAUGGGAAAUGAGCAAUUACAAUGUGGCUAAACAACAAUCAAACUACAAAGAAUUGAACAUUUUAUAUGAAAAAUAUAAAGAUCAAGGUCUGUUAGUUAUUCAACUCCAGUUAUUUGUUUGUUUCCUUUCUAUAAUUUCAAUGAGUUUGAGGGGUCUUAAUCUUAGGAAUCAACUAAUGCAAUGGAAAAUGUCGGAGGUAUGCUUUUUAUGCUUCCAUGAAUGUCUCAUUCAGCAUCAUGUGUUUCCUUAGCAUGGUUGUCAAUAUUACUAAGCUAUACUGAUGGUUCACUACUGAUGGAGAACAAAAAGGAGUUGGUUGAAAAAAAUGGAAGAUUAGAAUUUUAGUUUAUUUGUGAAUUUUAAUUUAUUAAUGAAGUCGAAUUUGUUUAGGAUUUUA